rnacentral:rRNA from 1 species
GAUGAACGCUAGCUACAGGCUUAACACAUGCAAGUCGAGGGGCAUCAGGAAGAAAGCUUGCUUUCUUUGCCGGCGACCGGCGCACGGGUGAGUAACACGUAUCCAACCUGCCCUUUACUCGGGGAUAGCCUUUCGAAAGAAAGAUUAAUACCCGAUGGCAUAAUGAUUCCGCAUGGUUUCAUUAUUAAAGGAUUCCGGUAAAGGAUGGGGAUGCGUUCCAUUAGGUUGUUGGUGAGGUAACGGCCCACCAAGCCUUCGAUGGAUAGGGGUUCUGAGAGGAAGGUCCCCCACAUUGGAACUGAGACACGGUCCAAACUCCUACGGGAGGCAGCAGUGAGGAAUAUUGGUCAAUGGGCGCUAGCCUGAACCAGCCAAGUAGCGUGAAGGAUGAAGGCUCUAUGGGUCGUAAACUUCUUUUAUAUAAGAAUAAAGUGCAGUAUGUAUACUGUUUUGUAUGUAUUAUAUGAAUAAGGAUCGGCUAACUCCGUGCCAGCAGCCGCGGUAAUACGGAGGAUCCGAGCGUUAUCCGGAUUUAUUGGGUUUAAAGGGAGCGUAGGUGGACUGGUAAGUCAGUUGUGAGAGUUUGCGGCUCAACCGUAAGAUUGCAGUUGAUACUGUCAGUCUUGAGUACAGUAGAGGUGGGCGGAAUUCGCGGUGUAGCGGUGAAAUGCUUAGAUAUCACGAAGAACUCCGAUUGCGAAGGCAGCUCACUGGACUGCAACUGACACUGAUGCUCGAAAGUGUGGGUAUCAAACAGGAUUAGAUACCCUGGUAGUCCACACAGUAAACGAUGAAUACUCGCUGUUUGCGAUAUACAGUAAGCGGCCAAGCGAAAGCAUUAAGUAUUCCACCUGGGGAGUACGCCGGCAACGGUGAAACUCAAAGGAAUUGACGGGGGCCCGCACAAGCGGAGGAUACAUGUGGUUUAAUUCGAUGAUACGCGAGGAACCUUACCCGGGCUUAAAUUGCAGUGGAAUGAUGUGGAAACAUGUCAGUGAGCAAUCACCGCUGUGAAGGUGCUGCAUGGUUGUCGUCAGCUCGUGCCGUGAGGUGUCGGCUUAAGUGCCAUAACGAGCGCAACCCUUAUCUUUAGUUACUAACAGGUUAUGCUGAGGACUCUAGAGAGACUGCCGUCGUAAGAUGUGAGGAAGGUGGGGAUGACGUCAAAUCAGCACGGCCCUUACGUCCGGGGCUACACACGUGUUACAAUGGGGGGUACAGAAAGCAGCUAGCGGGUGACCGUGUGCUAAUCCCAAAGCCUCUCUCAGUUCGGAUCGAAGUCUGCAACCCGACUUCGUGAAACUGGAUUCCCUAGUAAUCGCGCAUCAGCCACGGCGCGGUGAAUACCGUUCCGGGCCU